rnacentral:piRNA from 1 species
UAGAGGAGUAUAAGCUGGGGAUGGUGAAGA